AGCCCCGAAGUGUUCCACGUCAAAAUGCAAGUUUGAAGAGGAGCCCUAGAGGCUCCGGGGCUU
rnacentral:tRNA from 1 species